rnacentral:rRNA from 1 species
UACAGAGGGAGAGCAGUGUUGUGAAUUACUGGGCGUAAAGGGCGCGUAGGCGGCCUGCUAAGUCGAACGUGAAAUCCCCGGGCUCAACCCGGGAACUGCGUCCGAUACUGGCAGGCUUGAAUCCGGGAGAGGGAUGUGGAAUUCCAGGUGUAGCGGUGAAAUGCGUAGAUAUCUGGAGGAACACCGGUGGCGAAGGCGGCAUCCUGGACCGGUAUUGACGCUGAUGCGCGAAAGCCAGGGGAGCAAACGGG